AACGCACAUUGCGCCCGCCAGCACUCUGGCGGGCAUGCCUGUUCGAGCGUCAUUUCAACCCUCAAGCCCCCCCGGGGGCCUGGCGUUGGGGACCGGCACCCGCCCCGUCGCGGGUCGCCGCCCCCUAAAUUCAGUGGCGGUCCUGCCGCAGCCUCCUCUGCGUAGUAGCUUUUGAAACCUCGCACCGGAGCGCGGCUCGGCCACGCCGUUAAACCCCAACUUCUGAAAGUUUGACCUCGGAUCAGGUAGGAAUACCCGCUGAACUUAA
rnacentral:misc_RNA from 1 species